GCACCUAGGAACUCGAUGUUUAAUAUGACUCGACCAUGGAUAUCAAAUGAUUUUGGAUGUCUUUGAGCUCGAUCUCGCAGCAAGUCCAUGGCCAAGUCGAUGUGCUGCAGCAGGAAACACCGAAAAAGUAUGAGUUAUUCAUUUAAUAAACACAAGGUCACAUAUACAUAAAAAACACGAAAUGAAUAGUUUACUUACAUCGUCAGCGAGCCAAGCUCCCGCAGUGGUGAUAUCGUGGAACCACUUGUAAGGGUCCGAGACCGUCCUUUGUCCUAUCGUGCGGCUAGCUCUGUAAAAAAGAGGGAAAUGUUAAAAUAAGCGUAGACGAGUUAGCGUACAGUGCUUUAUUAAAAUCAUACAAUACUUACCCGGGGAUAAUUCUCCUCCACUCUGUCUCGAACACUUUCCACUUGGCAUUGUCCACCUCUCUGAAUAAGUUCGGGUACGUCCCAUCGAUGAACGUCCUCCUCUUGGCCUCAGCCGUGAAGGGGGAAACAACAUACUAUGACGGCACUCUCAAUCUCUUGCCGACCACCUCCUCCGUCUCGUCAACAGCAUGUCUCUUACCCUCAAUCACGCCGUGCGUCCUCUCGACCUCC
rnacentral:lncRNA from 1 species